rnacentral:rRNA from 1 species
GAUGAACGCUAGCGGCAGGCCUAAUACAUGCAAGUCGAGGGGCAGCACGGUUAGCAAUAACUGGUGGCGACCGGCGCACGGGUGCGUAACACGUAUACAAUCUACCUUAAACAGGGGGAUAGCCUUUCGAAAGAGAGAUUAAUACCCCGUAAUAAAUUGAACGGCAUCGUUUGAUUUUGAAAGCUCCGGCGGUUUGAGAUGAGUAUGCGUCUGAUUAGCUAGUUGGUGAGGUAACGGCUCACCAAGGCGACGAUCAGUAGGGGAUCUGAGAGGACUAACCCCCACACUGGUACUGAGACACGGACCAGACUCCUACGGGAGGCAGCAGUAAGGAAUAUUGGUCAAUGGAGGCAACUCUGAACCAGCCAUGCCGCGUGCAGGAUGACGGCCCUAUGGGUUGUAAACUGCUUUUAUACAAGAGAAAACCCUGGUACGUGUACCAGGUUGAUAGUAUUGUAAGAAUAAGCAUCGGCUAAACUUCGUGCCAGCAGCCGCGGU